CAGUUGCUCAACAGUCCAAAUAAAAGGAGUCUGACACUCUGGCAGCACACAUCUGAAGAAUCAACACCGCAGCAGGACUAAACAAGACACGUGAAAACAUGAAAGACUGUGGAUUCUCGCUCUCAUGGUGUUGGUGGUGGUCAGCCAGGGUGAAGCGUUGAAUUGUUACUGCAAAUCCAACUACAACAUAUGUUCAGGCCCAGCUGAGACUUGCGUCGGUUUCUAUCAAGUCUGUGGCAGCAUUCUGAAUACUAUUACAACAACUACAAGGGCUGCAUGAGUGCAGAUGAGUGCAAGGAGCGGAGAAGCUCAGAAUCUGACAUCUGCUGCAGCCAAGAUCUGUGUAACUGAUACAUGAACGGCAUGCAGCACAACUUCCAGUUAUAAUAAUAAUCUGCACUCAUGAGCUGUAUAUUAUUUCCUUAAUAAAGAUCAAUAAGUUGCAGCAAUA